AAGAAAAAUUGAGCUUGCUAUAGCAAAAAAGUCUAACUUAUUCCAGUGUUCUCUUCCUCAUGAGACAAACUGUUAUAUAGGCUCAAACAAU